AGAGUUUGAUCCUGGCUCAGGAUGAACGCUGGCGGUAUGCUUAACACAUGCAAGUCGAACGAAAUCUUCGGAUUUAGUGGCGGACGGGUGAGUAACGCGUGAGAAUCUGGCUUCAGGUUGGGGAUAACAGAGGGAAACCGCUGCUAAUACCCAAUGUGCCGAGAGGUAAAAGAUUAAUUGCCUGAAGAUGAGCUCGCGUCUGAUUAGCUAGAUGGUGGGGUAAAGGCCUACCAUGGCGACGAUCAGUAGCUGGUCUGAGAGGAUGAUCAGCCACACUGGGACUGAGACACGGCCCAGACUCCGACGGGAGGCAGCAGGAGGGAAUCUUCCGAAAUGGACGAAAGUCUGACGGAGCAACGCCGCGUGAGUGAUGAAGGCUUUCGGGUCGUAAAACUCUGUUGUUAGGGAAGAACAAGUGCUAGUUGAAUAAGCUGGCACCUUGACGGUACCUAACCAGAAAGCCACGGCUAACUACGUGCCAGCAGCCGCGGUAAUUC
rnacentral:rRNA from 1 species